CGGUAACAGGAAGCAGCUUGCUGCUUCGCUGACGAGUGGCGGACGGGUGAGUAAUGUCUGGGAAACUGCCUGAUGGAGGGGGAUAACUACUGGAAACGGUAGCUAAUACCGCAUAAUGUCGCAAGACCAAAGAGGGGGACCUUCGGGCCUCUUGCCAUCGGAUGUGCCCAGAUGGGAUUAGCUAGUAGGUGGGGUAACGGCUCACCUAGGCGACGAUCCCUAGCUGGUCUGAGAGGAUGACCAGCCACACUGGAACUGAGACACGGUCCAGACUCCUACGGGAGGCAGCAGUGGGGAAUAUUGCACAAUGGGCGCAAGCCUGAUGCAGCCAUGCCGCGUGUAUGAAGAAGGCCUUCG
rnacentral:rRNA from 1 species